AGCAAAAUUUGGGAACAAAUGGAAAAGUCUGUGGAUCCAUAGUUUCUGCUAUAACAAACAAAGCUUUUAUGUUUAUAUUGCACUUCCAUGUCAGAAGAACCUGUGGAAGAAUCCAGGAAAAUGCCUAGUGUCAAUGUGAGGAACGUACAUGGAUGGCAGCAGACUACCAGGACAUGAAAAGAAUAGCUCCUUCCUGACUUACUCUCUCUUGGAUCAAUUACUGUGAUGGAAACCAGCUGCCAUGUCAGGAGUACACUCAGCUGGCCUAAUGGGAGGCCCACACAGAGAGGCACUGAGGUCGCCAAUCAAUAACCAACACCAAUACAGCGCAGCUUUAGCACAUUGAAUGUGUCAUACUACUCUCUCCUGGACUGCAGAGUUUUUGCUGACAAAUCUGCUGACAGCCAUGUUGGAACUCUCUUGAUUGUGGUGAAGCCUAAGAAACACUGUCUAGGCUAAAGGACCAAGGUCAACAUCAACAGCGGUAAGUCAUAUUGAUAGUAUGUACAUUUCAUAUGAUGUGAUGUAAAUAGCGUUUUAACUUCUGUGAUCUUUCUGGUACUGGGUAUGUGGGAACUCUCUGUUCUCUCUUUAACAUUUUUCUGUAAACAUAAAACUAGUCUAAAAUAGAAAGUUUAUUUUAAAAAUCAUGGCAUUUUGUUGCUCUAGGAAAAGUGAUAUAUAAAAGAAUGUGCCUUAAUGUGUCUCUGUCAUAUGCUUGCAGAAAGAGGAGACUUUGGGACUUGGAAGUGAUGCCUAAAAUAGAGUAUUUUUAAAACUAUGGAACAUAACCUCAAUAACAUUAUUGAGAAUGGCUACUUGGCAAAUAAGGGAACUUUUGCAUCAGAGAUUAUUUAUGAUACAUCACAAUAGCAAUCUUAAAAAUGGAAGCAGAUUCUCAGAGACCUAAAGCACAAAUAAAUGAUAAAGGAUUGCAAGUGUAAAUAUCAGGUUUCUCUAGGAUGAAGAAAUCUCCUUAAAAAAGGCCUACGUUUCAAAGCCUAGCUGUGCAGGAUGAAUGAAAAUCCAUUUGCCCAAUAAACUAGAAAAUCUAGAAGAAAUGGAUAAAUUCCUUGACACAUACACCCUCCCAAGAUUAAACCAGGAAGAAGUUGAAUCUCUGAAUAGACCAAUAACAGGCUCUGAAAUUGUGGCAAUAAUCAAUAGCUUACCAACCAAAAAAAGCCCAGGACCAGAUGGAUUCACAGCUGAAUUCUACCAGAGGUACAAGGAGGAGCUGGUACCAUUCCUUCUGAAACUAUUCCAAUCAAUAGAAAAAGAGGGAAUCCUCCCUAACUCAUUUUAUGAGGCCAGCAUCAUCCUGAUACCAAAGCCUGGCAGAGACACAACCAAAAAAGAGAAUUUUAGACCAAUAUCCUUGAUGAACAUUCAUACAAAAAUCCUCAAUAAAAUACUGGCAAACCGAAUCCAGCAGCACAGCAAAAAGCUUAUCCACCAUGAUCAAGUGGGCUUCAUCCCUGGGAUGCAAGGCUGGUUCAACAUACGCAAAUCAAUAAAUGUAAUCCAGCAUAUAAACAGAACCAAAGACAAAAACCACAUGAUUAUCUCAAUAGAUGCAGAAAAGGCCUUUGACAAAAUUCAACAACCUUCAUGCUAAAAACUCUCAAUAAAUUAGGUAUUGAUGGGACAUAUCUCAAAAUAAUAAGAGCUAUCUAUGACAAACCCACAGCCAAUAUCAUACUGAAUGGGCAAAAACUGGAAGCAUUCCCUUUGAAAACGGGCACAAGACAGGGAUGCCCUCUCUCACCACUCCUAUUCAACAUAGUGUUGGAAGUUCUGGCCAGGGCAGUCAGGCAGGAGAAGGAAAUAAAGGGUAUUCAAUUAGGAAAAGAGGAAGCCAAAUUGUCCCUGUUUUCAGAAGACAUGAUUGUAUAUCUAGAAAACCCCAUCAUCUCAGCCCAAAAUCUCCUUAAGCUGAUGAGCAACUUCAGCAAAGUCUCAGGAUACAAAAUCAAUCUUCAAAAAUCACAAGCAUUCUUAUACACCAAUAACAGACAAACAGAGAGCCAAAUCAUGAGUGAACUCCCAUUCACAAUUGCUUCAAAGAGAAUAAAAUACCUAGGAAUCCAACUUACAAGGGAUGUGAAGGACCUCUUCAAGGAGAACUACAAACCACUGCUCAAUGAAAUAAAAGAGGAUACAAACAAAUGGAAGAACAUUCCAUGUUCAUGGGUAGGAAGAAUCAAUAUCAUGAAAAUGGCCAUACUGCCCAAGGUAAUUUAUAGAUUCAAUGCCAUCCCCAUCAAGCUACCAAUGACUUUCUUCACAGAAUUGGAAAAAACUACUUUAAAGUUCAUAUGGAACCAAAAAAGAGCCCACAUCGCCAAGUCAAUCCUAAGCCAAAAGAACAAAGCUGGAGGCAUCACGCUACCUGACUUCAAACUAUACUACAAGGCUACAGUAACCAAAACAGCAUGGUAUUGGUACCAAAACAGAGAUAUAGAUCAAUGGAACAGAACAGAGCUCUCAGAAAUACUGCCACAUAUCUACAACCAUCUGAUCUUUGACAAACCUGACAAAAACAAGCAAUGGGGAAAGGAUUCCCUAUUUAAUAAAUGGUGCUGGGAAAACUGGCUGGCCAUAUGUAGAAAGCUGAAACUGGAAACCUUCCUUACACCUUAUAC